CAGGCAAAAAGAAAAAGAGAAAAAAAAGAUAAAAAUGAGAAAAUGAGUAAGCUCUAAUAGGGUCAACAACUUAGAUGUUAC
rnacentral:ribozyme from 1 species